rnacentral:rRNA from 1 species
UACGUAGGGGGCUAGCGUUGUCCGGAUUUAUUGGGCGUAAAGAGCGUGUAGGCGGCUUUGCAAGUCCGUUGUGAAAACUCGAGGCUCAACCUCGAGACGCCGGUGGAAACUGCAAAGCUAGAGUCCGGAAGAGGAGAGUGGAACUCCUGGUGUAGCGGUGGAAUGCGCAGAUAUCAGGAAGAACACCAACGGCGAAGGCAGCUCGCUGGGACGGUACUGACGCUGAGACGCGAAAGCGUGGGGAGCGAACAGG